CCUACGGGUGGCAGCAGUGAGGAAUAUUGGUCAAUGGGCGGAAGCCUGAACCAGCCAAGUAGCGUGCAGGAUGACGGCCCUACGGGUUGUAAACUGCUUUUAUACGGGAAUAACGCGCCUUACGUGUAGGGCUUUGCAUGUACCGUAUGAAUAAGGACCGGCUAAUUCCGUGCCAGCAGCCGCGGUAAUACGGAGGGUCCGGGCGUUAUCCGGAUUUAGUGGGUUUAAUGGGAGCGUAGGCGGCAUGUCAAGCGUGCUGUGAAAUGUCCGGGCUCAACCACGGAAUUGCAGCGCGGACGGGCGGGCGUGAGUCCGGGGAAGGCAGGCGGAAUUCGUCGUGUAGCGGUGAAAUGCUUAGAUAUGACGAAGAACCCCGAUUGCGAAGGCAGCUUGCUGCAGCGGAACUGACGCUGAUGCUCGAAAGCGCGGGUAUCGAACAGGAUUAGAUACCCCAGUAGUC
rnacentral:rRNA from 1 species